ACAUUUUCAGUUAAUAAACAUGAUAUUGGUUGUUCAUGCUGUGUGUGAGAUGUGCCUCCCUCUAAAUCUUCUGGGCACUUUACUUGUCUGAUA
rfam:Ictidomys tridecemlineatus contig088891, whole genome shotgun sequence.